rnacentral:rRNA from 1 species
UUCCGGUUGAUCCCGCCGGACCUGACUGCUAUCGGAUUGAUACUAAGCCAUGCGAGUCUUUGCAGUAAUGCAAGGCAUACGGCUCAGUAACACGUAGUCAACUUACCCUAUGGACGAGGAUAAUCUCGGGAAACUGAGCAUAAUACUCGAUAGAUCAUAAUGCCUGGAAUGGUUUAUGGUUGAAAUGAUUCGUCGCCAUAGGAUGGGACUGCGGCCUAUCAGCUUGUUGGUGAGGUAAUGGCCCACCAAGGCGAUUACAGGUACGGGCUCUGAGAGGAGAAGCCCGGAGGUGGGUACUGAGACAAGGACCCAGGCCCUAUGGGGCGCAGCAGGCGAGAAAACCUUGCAAUGUGCGAAAGCACGACAAGGUUAAUCCGAGUGAUUUCUGCUAAAGGAAUCUUUUGCAAGUCAUAAAACCACUAGUGAAUAAGGGGUGGGCAAGUUCUGGUGUCAGCCGCCGCGGUAAAACCAGCACCUCAAGUGGUCAGGAGGAUUAUUGGGCCUAAAGCAUCCGUAGCCGGCUCUGUAAGUUUUCGGUUAAAUCCAUGUGCUCAACGCAUGGGCUGCCGAAAAUACUGCAUAGCUAGGGAGUGGGAGAGGUAGACGGUACUCGGUAGGAAGGGGUAAAAUCCUUUGAUCUAUCGAUGACCACCUGUGGCGAAGGCGGUCUACCAGAACACGUUCGACGGUGAGGGAUGAAAGCUGGGGGAGCAAACCGGAUUAGAUACCCGGGUAGUCCCAGCUGUAAACGAUGCAGACUCGAUGAUGCAUUGGCAUAUAGCCAGUGCAGUGUCGCAGGGAAGCCGUUAAGUCUGCCGCCUGGGAAGUACGUACGCAAGUAUGAAACUUAAAGGAAUUGGCGGGGGAGCACCACAAGGGGUGAAGCCUGCGGUUCAAUUGGAAUCAACGCCGGA